rnacentral:lncRNA from 1 species
ACAGAAACCACCUCAUUGGUGUAAUGAGAGUAAGAUGGAUCAAAAGGGCAUUUUGGGCCAUGCCCUCCAAGGUCAGCCAAAGGCCCCAGGAAAAAUGAGUUUACUCUGAUAAAUUGCCUUUGCUCUUCAUCAGAGAUGACUCAGAUUCUUCAGAGACUAGAUGCUAACACGUGAAAUACUAUAAAAGGGAAGUUACUAGGGAACACAGGCUAAGUUUGAUAUAGUACAAAGUUAUAAUCUUAUAGAAUCUACAACAUUGUUAAACAGCCUCCUGUCCUUGGGAAGUUCAAGAUGAAAGAUCUUCACAUACCAAGUAUGAAAUGUUCACAGCAUCAGAACCAGAACUUCCCUGCAGAAGUCAGCUUCAGUUGCCCUGGCUCUGUAAGUCAUUGCUGUCUCGUUUCUGCUAUGCAGCAUCUCCAGUAACUGCUUCUUCCUCAUUCUUCAAUUCCUGGAAACCAAGUUCUUCAUUCUCAAUUUGACUGGCAUCUUCUUCUCCUUGUAAUGCCUUUUUACCAGCAGAUAUUUAUUGUCAAACUCCUCAGCCAGAGCCUACUCCAUGAAGACCAGCUUACCAGGCACCAACACUAGAGAACAAUUUUAAUGAAUGAGUCUGAAUAAUCUUGUUCGCAUUGUUCAUUCUGUAUGACAAUUUUGUCAUAAAAUGAAAAAAAUUGACAAAAUGUUAUUUUGCUGAAAUUUUCAUCUUUUAAAUACAAGAAUAUUUCUAGGACAUAGAAUUAAAUUUGCUAAC